rnacentral:snoRNA from 1 species
AAGAAAUAGGUGGCAAUAGUAAAGCCAUGUUACGAGCCUUAACAGCAUUGAGGUUGUUAAGGUUCCUGAAAGUAGCUACAGAA